UAUAGCUCAGUGGUAGAGUGCUUGUCUAGCAUGCAUGAGGCACUGGGUUCAAUCCCCAGUA
rnacentral:tRNA from 1 species